rnacentral:misc_RNA from 1 species
CCAGGUAUUCCCAUAAUUUCACGCAGACUCAGGUCCCGAAAUAAAGCAGCACGUUCUUCGAGAUCGCCAUGAAAGAGCGCAGAGAGAAAGAGAGAGAACUAAAGACGGAAACAAAGAAAGGAAAGGAAAAGAAGUAAACUAUCACUAUCUCGAUUGAGAAAGAGAGAGUGUGGCUUGGGUUCAGCUUUGAAGCUCACUAGCAAGACAGAAUCAGAGAGAGAGAGAGAGAGAGAGAAAGAGA